GUAGCAUUUAUUGCUCACUCUCCCUCAAGGGCUUCUGAAAUCGCCUCCAAAGAAGCUAGUCUGAAGUUCUUAGGGAGAGUGGUUAAUAUUUGUUAC
rnacentral:pre_miRNA from 1 species